AUUGAACGCUGGCGGCAGGCUUAACACAUGCAAGUCGAGCGGGGGAAGGUAGCUUGCUACUGGACCUAGCGGCGGACGGGUGAGUAAUGCUUAGGAAUCUGCCUAUUAGUGGGGGACAACAUCUCGAAAGUGAUGCUAAUACCGCAUACGUCCUACGGGAGAAAGCAGGGGAUCUUCGGACCUUGCGCUAAUAGAUGAGCCUAAGUCGGAUAAGCUAGUUGGUGGGGUAAAGGCCUACCAAGGCGACGAUCUGUAGCGGGUCUGAGCGGAUGAUCCGCCACACUGGGACGUAGACACCGCCAAGACUCCUGCGGGAGGCAGCAGUGGGGAAUAUUGGACAAUGGGGGGAACCCUGAUCCAGCCAUGCCGCGUGUGGGAAGAAGGCUUUAUGGUUGUAAAGCACUUUAAGCGGGGAGGGGGGUACUUUAGUUAAUACCUAGAGAUAGUUGACGUUACUCGCAGAAUAAGCACCGGUUAACUCUGUGCCAGCCGCCGCUGGAA
rnacentral:rRNA from 1 species